rnacentral:rRNA from 1 species
GACGAACGCUGGCGGCACGCCUAACACAUGCAAGUCGAGCGGAGAUUGAGAGCUUGCUCUCAUGAUCAGCGGCGGACGGGUGAGUAACACGUGAGCAACCUGCCUUUCAGAGGGGGACAACAGUUGGAAACGACUGCUAAUACCGCAUAACAUUGCCGAACGGCAUCGUUUGGCAAUCAAAGGAGCAAUCCGCUGAAAGAUGGGCUCGCGUCUGAUUAGAUAGUUGGUGAGGUAACGGCUCACCAAGUCGACGAUCAGUAGCCGGACUGAGAGGUUGAUCGGCCACAUUGGGACUGAGACACGGCCCAGACUCCUACGGGAGGCAGCAGUGGGGGAUAUUGGACAAUGGGGGAAACCCUGAUCCAGCGAUGCCGCGUGAGGGAAGAAGGUUUUCGGAUUGUAAACCUCUGUGGACAGGGACGAUAAUGACGGUACCUGUUUAGAAAGCCACGGCUAACUACGUG